rnacentral:rRNA from 1 species
AACGAACGCUGGCGGCAGGCUUAACACAUGCAAGUCGAACGCAUCGCAAGAUGAGUGGCAGACGGGUGAGUAACGCGUGGGAAUCUACCUAGUUCUACGGAACAACAGUUGGAAACGACUGCUAAUACCGUAUACGCCCCAUGGGGGAAAGAUUUAUCGGAAUUAGAUGAGCCCGCGUAAGAUUAGCUAGUUGGUGGGGUAAUGGCCUACCAAGGCGACGAUCUUUAGCUGGUCUGAGAGGAUGAUCAGCCACACUGGGACUGAGACACGGCCCAGACUCCUACGGGAGGCAGCAGUGGGGAAUAUUGGACAAUGGGCGCAAGCCUGAUCCAGCCAUGCCGCGUGAGUGAUGAAGGCCUUAGGGUUGUAAAGCUCUUUCACCGAUGAAGAUAAUGGCGGUAGUCGGAGAAGAAGCCCCGGCUAACUUCGUGCCAGCAGCCGCGGUAACAC